rnacentral:rRNA from 1 species
GACGAACGCUGGCGGCGUGCUUAACACAUGCAAGUCGAACGGAAAGGCCCUGCUUUUGGGGGGUGCUCGAGUGGCGAACGGGUGAGUAACACGUGAGUAACCUGCCCUUGACUUUGGGAUAACUUCAGGAAACUGGGGCUAAUACCGGAUAGGAGCUCCUGCUGCAUGGUGGGGGUUGGAAAGUUUCGGCGGUUGGGGAUCGACUCGCGGCUUAUCAGCAUGUUGGUGGGGUAGUGGCUUACCAAGGCUUGGAGUGGAAGCCGGCGUGAGAGGGUGAGCGGACACAUUGGGACUGAGACAGGGCACAGACUUAUACGGGACGUAGCAGUGGGGAAUAGCGCACAAUGGGCCGAAGCCUGAUGCAGCAACGCCGCGUGUGGGAUGACGGCUUUAGGGUUGUAAACCGCUUUCGCCUGUGAUGAACGGUGAGUGACGGUAAUGGGUAGAGAAGCACGGGCUAACUACGUG